rnacentral:miRNA from 1 species
CAUUCUCUGGUGGCCUAGCAGG